GAGAGAACAGCCUGUGCCGUCAACCAACUGUGUCUAGAUAAUAAAUCUACAGUGUUUUGAUCUUUCAAAUUUUGGAGGUCAGAAGCUCCAACUCCCUUCUGGAUAAACUGUUCGGCAGCUGAACUGACAGCAACAGCCUGUGGGGAGGGGGUGUUUUCUAUCAAGGAAGAGAUGUCACUGUUCUUGAGAGCAUCCAGGCAGCUCUAAAAGAAGUGGGAAAAUGUGUUGGAGAAGCUGGGCUGACCCUCCUAAUCAACAACGCUGGCACUGGAUUGUUCAAUGAUCUAGACACUGAAAAUGCCAAGGAUAUGAUGACAGUAUAUUCCGUCAAUACCAUUGGCCCUCUGCAAAUGAGUCAGGAUCAAGCCUUGGAAGGGAUAUCAGAGGCACAUUCCAGGGGUACCAGCCUCUGGGGUUUCUCUCUUCCCCCCUCAAUGCUUCAAGCAAAGAUAGGUUCUGUAAUGGUAUGUGGGACUGACCUUGGGAGACAGAAGGAAGAGCCGCAG